CUACGGGCCGCUCCAGUGGGGAAUAUUGCGCAAUGGAGGAAACUCUGACGCAGCCAUGCCGCGUGAGUGACGAAGGCCUUAGGGUUGUAAAGCUCUUUCAGACGUGAUGAUGAUGACAGUAGCGUCAAAAGAAGUUCCGGCUAACUUCGUGCCAGCAGCCGCGGUAAUACGAAGGGAACUAGCGUUGUUCGGAUUUACUGGGCGUAAAGAGCACGUAGGCGGAUUGGUCAGUUGGGGGUGAAAGCCCGGAGCUCAACUCCGGAACUGCCUUCAAUACUGCCAAUCUAGAGUCCGUAAGGGGGUGGUGGAAUUCCGAGUGUAGAGGUGAAAUUCGUAGAUAUUCGGAGGAACACCAGUGGCGAAGGCGACCACCUGGUACGGUACUGACGCUGAGGUGCGAAAGCGUGGGGAGCAAACAGGAUUAGAUACCCGCGUAGUC
rnacentral:rRNA from 1 species